rnacentral:rRNA from 1 species
CAAAUCGGACUAGGAUAUAGCUGGUUUUCUGCGAAAUCUAUUUAGGUAGAUAGCUUAAUAAGGAUGUUUAUUAGUGGGUAUAGCACUGAAUAUCUAAUAUUAUUUGAAGGGAGUAUGAAAGUACUUACUUUGGAUAUUUAAUCUCAGAAUAACUAAUAGAUGAAAGAUGAUUAAGUUGUCAGACUUUUUGCGAUAAGGUGGGAAGUCAAGAGGAA